GAUGAACGCUGGCGGCGUGCCUAAUACAUGCAAGUCGAGCGAACAGAUGAGGAGCUUGCUCCUCUGACGUUAGCCGCGCACGGGUGAGUAACACGUGGAUAACCUACCUAUAAGACUGGGAUAACUUCGGGAAACCGGAGCUAAUACCGUAUAAUAUAUUGAACCGCAUUGUUCAAUAGUGAAAGACGGUUGUGCUGUCACUUAUAGAUGGAUCCGCGCCGCAUUAGCUAGUUGGUAAGGUAACGGCUUACCAAGGCAACGAUGCGUAGCCGACGUGUGUGGCUGGUCGGCCGCACGAGAACUGAGACACGGACAAGAGUCCUACGGUACGCAGCAGUAGGGAAUCUUCCGCAAUGGGCGAAAGCCUGGCGGAGCAGCGGCGCGUGAGUGAUGAAAGUCUUCGGAUCGUAAAACUCUGUUAUUAGGGAAGAACAGAUGUGUAAUUAACUAUGCACGCCUUGACGGUACCUAAUCAGAAAGCAACGGCUAACUACGUG
rnacentral:rRNA from 1 species